rnacentral:lncRNA from 1 species
AUGAGGAACACAAAGAAAAAGAGGAGAGGCACCCCAUAGAUGUUCUCUAAGACUUUUAGAAAACAUGGAGUUGUUCCUUUGGCCACAUACAUGCAGAUCUAUAAGAAAGGUGAUAUUGUUGACAUCAAGGGAAUGGUUCCUGUUCGAAAAGGAAGGCCCCACAAAUGUUUCCGUGGCAAAACUGGAGGAGUCUACAGUGUUACCCAGCUGCUGUUGGUGUUGUUAUAAACAAACAAGUUCAGGGCAAGAUUCUUGCUAAGCGAUUUAAUGUGCGUAUUAAGCACUCUAAGAGCGGAGAUAGCUUCCUGAAAUGCAUGAAAGAAAAUGAUCAGGAGAAGAAGGAAGGCAGAGAAGCACACUCUGUGAACGAGUGGAAUGGAGUCUGGCCUACUGGAACCUAUCCCCUAUGAAUUUGUGUCAUAA